UACGGGGGGGGCAAGCGUUGUUCGGAAUUACUGGGCGUAAAGGGCUCGUAGGCGGCCAACUAAGUCGGACGUGAAAUCCCUCGGCUUAACCGGGGAACUGCGUCCGAUACUGGAUGGCUUGAGUUCGGGAGAGGGAUGCGGAAUUCCAGGUGUAGCGGUGAAAUGCGUUGAGAUCGGAAGGAACGCCCGUGGCGAAAGCGAGAUCCUGGACGUCUACUGACGCUGAGACGCGAAAGCUAGGGGAGCGAACGGG
rnacentral:rRNA from 1 species